AGGUUAGGUUGUCUUGCCUUGAUCUGUUCAGUAAAUAUAUCUUCUGCAUAUUUUAGAAUUUGGAAAGAAAACUUAUCGAGAAGCCAGAAAUAGCUAUUAUCACUCUAUCUAUUCGAAGAGAGGAAGCUGUGCGGUAUCUGUGCAUUGAGCGUUGGGUUACAAUUCAACACAGCAGUGUAAAUCCACUCCAAAAAUGCUCGAAGGUGCUGACAUUGACGGGGAUAAGUCGCAAGUUUAGGGCAAGUGUGUCUUCGUACAGGAAGCGUAACUGUAAACUCUAUACGGGGCCAGGGUCACAGAGUACGUAAGCUCAAGCUAAAAACACAAACACAACUGUUGCGAGUGUAAUUUGCAAGCGAAGGGGACGAUCAAGAUCUUAGAGAGAGAGAGCAACGGGGUAUUUUGUCUGAUGUUCUCUUGCGCUUCACAGCUAGCCGUUUGAGUAAGACGUCCCGGGAUUCUUUGUACUUGUAUAUCUCGUGGAUGUGUCCAAAGUUAUGAAUGGUUUUACGGACUCUUCGCUAGAGUUACACAUUCUAGAGCACAAACUUCGGGUAACCAACGUGAAGAAACAUGCGAUCAGCAACUAUAUGCACGCACUGGUCAAGAUUUCCUUACUUCCACACUCCAGUCCAAAGUUUUUUAGUUUUACAGAGACCCGCGAUGGAUAUACUGUUAUCGCAGAAGAUGAGCUUUACCGAGAGCUGCCUGUAGGAGAGUGUAUUGAUGUAGCUGACCCCCUCUGGAGAGUGUUAACAGUCUCAGCAGGGGCACUUGGCUCAUUAAACUUGACUGGCAUAAGCAAGAUUGUCAAGAGUGUCAUUUCCCCUCUGGCAGAUAACAAGAUUUCUGUACUUAUAAUCUCCACCUACCAGUCAGAUUAUGUGCUAGUAAAAGACUUAGAUUUGCUUUCUGCAAUAAACUGUCUCUCCAAUAACUUCAAGGUCUUCAUGGACAAAGGCUCUCGUCUUGAGCCUGUUUCUCCUACAUUGCAAGAGAAAAUGAAUGCUAUGCAACACCCAAGCACUGCCCCGCCAGUUAAACCUCGGCCAAUUACUCAUCCAUUUGUCUGCCCACUUAACAAGUUUUACAUUUCAAGUCUGGACAUGAAAACCCUACACCAACUGACACCUAUUAUACUAGACCUCAUGUUCUACUCAAAUUCACGACCACAACGUGGAGAAGAUUUUGAGCAGUUCUUUCACCUGUCAAUUGUGGAUGGUGAUAUUUCACUUUUGCUUGAUGAACUUGCACUUUCAAGAUUUCCUAAGGGCAGUCUGCUGACAUGUAACAGUGAGGAAUGCUGGCGCAUGAUACGUAUUGGGGAUCAUCCGCUUGGUUUUGAUGAGUGCGGUGUAGCAGCAGAGAUAGCGGAGCCCCUGGCGGAUGCGCAAAUGACAGCGUACUACCUCAGUACCUACGCCUUGGGCCAUACUCUGAGCAGACGGGGGUUGUGGCGCAGGCCUCGGAGCCUUUAGCUGACGCAGACAUCAUUACUUUCUGUAUCUGCUCUUACAAAUAUGAUUACCAGCUGAUUCCAGAGUCCGAGCUACAGAAUGCUUUGGAUAUUUUAAAUCCCUUAAAAGUGUGACAAGCAUCAGAGAAAGAUUAUAGGCAUUUACUUAAUAAAAGGAAAAAUGCUUCUUUAAUUAGCCCCGAACAAUAGGAUACGGAUUACUUAGUGAACGAUAGUGAGAAAUAAAACAAAUAAUCCUUAAUAAACUUCAAAAGACUAAUAAGAAAUUAGAAAUUUUCAAAUUACUCGAAAUAUCAGUUUUGAUUAUUUGUUGUCUAACAAACAUUUUUGUUGUCUAACAAACAUUUCUACGACGGGAGUUUGAGGGGCAAGAAAAAGUAGUUACCAGGACAGUGAGAAUGAAAGAGGAUGAAAUUCCUGUAUUUAUGUUGUACAGUGGAAACUCGAUACAACGAUGAUAACGAUCACCGAUGUCGAGUACGGACAACAGCAAAAGGAAUUAAUAUGUUGAUAUGUGGGAAAUGAUCUUAACGAUUACUCGUUAUAAUGUUGUAAUGUGUUUGUCCAUUGCAUAUCAUCAUUAUAUCGAGGUUACAUUGUAUAUCAAAUGUAUUUGUAAAAUUCAUUAUUUAUUCUUUGCGAGUGAAACCAACCCUGGCACAGUAUUCGGAUCAUAUGUACACCCCUGUUAACACCAAACAAAUCUGCUAUCACUAAAGCGUGGGGAGGGUUUGAAUAGAUAGCAGUGAAAUGCUGGGGUUGAUGAAUUAUUAAACAGUAGCAUUAACUUUUGAUACAGGUGUCUACUAAUAAGCCUUGAAAACACAUGGACAUACUUUUGUCAAGGCAUUUACUUUCAUUUUAAGGCAGGGCGGGGCAAUACAGAAACAUCAAGAAAAUAUUUUGGGGCACGGCCACGCCCCUACUGGUCAUUUCCUUAUAUUUUUUUAAAAUAUUAGGGGGGGGGGCGUGCCUCAAGUACCCUACCCCUGUCUCGGGUGACAAGGAACUUUUUUUUCUCAGUUUUUGGCGCACGGAAACAAGCUGUUGCUAUCUGCAUUUUAGCAUGAAAAAGUUAACAUUUCCGUCCAUGCAUUUUCUUUUCUCUAGGGGCGUAAUGGAAUGCGACCCGAUUACCGAUUGGAUAACAAAGAGAAGCAUUCACUGUAUUGUAUUUAUUUACUAGUGGGAUAAAAUACUUGAUUACUUUAAAAUACUACUUUUAAGUGUUGAAAAACAUGUAUCUAAGUACGUUUAUAUAUUUUGUACUUAUUGUACUUAUUUACGGGUUUAAUAAAUAUGUUUGAUUUUAUAAAAAAA